GAUUUAAGUGACAACAAGCUUUCCCUUAGAAGUUUGAUUGAUCAUUCAGUUGUGGAGAGUUUUGGAGCAGGAGGAAAAACGUGCAUAUUGUCUAGGGUUUAUCCAAGUCUAGCAGUUGAGAAGAACGUUCAUUUGCAUGUCUUCAACAAUGGAAUUGAGACUAUUACUGUCGAGAAACUCAACGCGUGGACUAUGAAUAAGCCUCGGUUAAUGAACAACAACUGCGGAUGAAAUUAAAUCUUAACUACCUAUAUAAUAUUAUUAGGUUUUUAGGCUUUAGGGUAGGUUUUAAUAAUUUAUUUUAUAAGGUUUGAUGCUUCUAGUAGUGAGACUUAAUUUGGAAUAAAAUAAGUGUAUUGUCGCAUUAGUAGUUUAGUACCUUGUUUUUCUACAUCUUUUGUACCAGACAAUCAUCUUUAGUUUAUAUUAUUAAUCUUAUAUGUUCUACAAGCA